rnacentral:misc_RNA from 1 species
ACCACAUAAAUCACAACAUAAUUUGGGUAUGAAAUUAUGGUUUAGCUCAUGGAAUACAAAUUUCUGGUAUUACCCCAAUGUCAAGUAGUCGACCUUUUAGAUCUUUCUCUGAGAACAUGUUGAACACAAUAUCGACCGCCAGACGGCCUCAAGACCGACCUGCUCAGAAAGCAAACAGACUCUUGUCACGCUACUCUAGUUGUCUUUCCCUGAUAAGGAUAUUCAUACUUUGCAGGUGACAUGAUGGUUGAAGAAAACAAUCGUCCGAGGUGUGUCUAAAGUUCCUCUUUGCUGAAUUUAUUCCAGGCUUCCUUAAGGAUAUCAAAAACCUUCUCUGCUGUAUAUUUCUGUUCAAUACUGG